GCCAGCAUGGUGUAGUGGUUUGAGUGUUGGACUAUGACUCCGGAGACCAGGGUUCAAUUCCCUGCUCAGACA